UCUGAAGGAUAAUUGUGUUUUCCGCGGGGGAGGGGGGAUGCGGUAAUUCACAUUCACAUGCUAUUUGUUACAUGACAAACGUUCUUCCUCAACUAAAAAUAGUUCCCAGUUUAUCUUAUCUGUUUAUUGAUCUUAAACCGGUUUUAUGAAUAUUAUGCAAUAGUGAAGUAAUAAUCUUUUAACUUAUCAGAUAAAUUUAAACAUUACUGCGCUUUAAAAAAAAAUAGUGAUUAUCAUAUCUGCGCAUUGAACUAAAACACAUGAGGAGUUGAUUUUAUUGCGCAGGAUUGGCGGGAGCGCCAUCUUUUCGAGAAAUUACAAGGCAUCUGUAGUUACUAAAUCGUGUGUAUUUUUCUCCUAAUUGUCAAAGAAUUCAAUAUUCAGAGUACGACAUGUAUAUUAUGAUAUCAAUUGUUAUAUUUCCUUUACUAAGCAUGUGAAUUUCCCGCCUUUGUUGACAUUGAAUGACAUUGACUUUGGCAUUUUCAAAUAAUAAAUUGAGGGGAUGAUCCAUCACUAAAAUGACAGAUAUCCUACGGACCCAGUUUAACUGAACACGGUAACUGUCCUAAGAAGUCAGCUGCACAGCUUUCAGACCACAUUUUUACGGACCAUCAUUGCAGCCUCUGUGAUUGAACCAGUGCAGCCGGUCGACUAAAAACCACGUUCCUCUAAAAAAGUCGGGAUAACGGUUCAAGCAGUAGGUGUGCAGCUUGCAAGAAUUGUCAUAGAUGACAGUGGAUGGAGCUGCAAGUGAAAUAAAAAUGGAAAUAUAGAUUUAAAUACCAUGUUCACAAAAGAGGCAAAACACUCCAGGCAGUAGACUAGGGUGGCCUCUUGAUUU